UACGUAGGGACCAAGCGUUGUUCGGAUUUACUGGGCGUAAAGGGCGCGUAGGCGGCAAUUCAAGUCAUCUGUGAAAUCUCCGAGCUUAACUCGGAACGGUCAGAUGAUACUGCUUUGCUAGAGUACAGAAGGGGCAAUCGGAAUUCUUGGUGUAGCGGUGAAAUGCGUAGAUAUCAAGAGGAACACCUGAGGUGAAGACGGGUUGCUGGGCUGAUACUGACGCUGAGGCGCGAAAGCUAGGGUAGCAAACGGG
rnacentral:rRNA from 1 species